CGGCAAAUAAAGUUAUGGUAAGAAUUGUUGCAGAAAGAGAGAUUGAAGAUCUAGACACGGAUAAUCGGAGCAAGCGGGCGGUAGGCAUUGUGUUUUCUUGUAAAAUCAUUGAUGACCAGAUUCCCUCGAGAGUGGUGAAAAGGCAUCAUGCGAGAGUGUGGUUUGAACGAGAGUAUUAAUAUUAUCAUUGGCAGUGAUGGCGUUUGUGUUUUAAUAUUAGGCUUAACUAAUUUACGUAUGUUAGCUUGUCAUUAGUUUCUUCUAAAUUUUUUAUCCACAUAAUGCCUCCUACAAUACAAACAGGAUCUCAAGCAAGCACGUCAGAUCGAGAUAGAAAACUAAGACCCGGAGAAAAGAGAUCUGAGUUAGUAUGUCGUAUGAAAUUUUGUAAUACUUUGCCUGAUAUUCCCUUUGAUCCAAAGUUCAUCACAUACCCUUUUGAGUCAAAUAGGUAAGCAUUUAUUAAAUAUUUUCUAAGAUUAAAAU